rnacentral:snRNA from 1 species
AUACUCUGGUUUCUCUUCAUACCACAUAAAUCUUUCACCUUUUACUAAACAUUUCUAUGCAGAGAAACAGAUAUGAGUCAUUAACCAAGUGUUUGAGACCUUCUGUCCUGGGAGGCU